AACUCAGGCUAAUACCGCAUACGCCCUACGGGGGAAAGCAGGGGAUCUUCGNACCUUGCGCUAUCGGAUGAGCCUAUGUCGGAUUAGCUUGUUGGUGAGGUAAUGGCUCACCAAGGCGACGAUCCGUAGCUGGUCUGAGAGGAUGAUCAGCCACAUCGGGACUGAGACACGGCCCGAACUCCUACGGGAGGCAGCAGUGGGGAAUAUUGGACAAUGGGCGAAAGCCUGAUCCAGCCAUGCCGCGUGUGUGAAGAAGGCUUUCGGGUUGUAAAGCACUUUCAGUGAGGAAGAAAGCCUUGGGGCUAAUACCCCCAAGGGACGACAUCACUCACAGAAGAAGCACCGGCUAACUCCGUGCCAGCAGCCGCGGUAAUACGGAGGGUGCGAGCGUUAAUCGGAAUUACUGGGCGUAAAGCGCGCGUAGGUGGCUUGAUAAGCCGGUUGUGAAAGCCCCGGGCUCAACCUGGGAACGGCAUCCGGAACUGUCAGGCUAGAGUGCAGGAGAGGAAGGUAGAAUUCCCGGUGUAGCGGUGAAAUGCGUAGAGAUCGGGAGGAAUACCAGUGGCGAAGGCGGCCUUCUGGACUGACACUGACACUGAGGUGCGAAAGCGUGGGUAGCAAACAG
rnacentral:rRNA from 1 species